rnacentral:rRNA from 1 species
AGAGUUUGAUCCUGGCUCAGAGCGAACGCUGGCGGCAGGCCUAACACAUGCAAGUCGAGCGAGAAAGUGACUUCGGUCAUUAUUAAAGCGGCGGACGGGUGAGUACAACUUGGAUAACCUACCUUUAGGUCUGGGAUAACCUCGGGAAACCGAAGCUAAUACCGGAUAAGACCACGAUUUCUUCGGAUUUCGGGGUAAAAGAUUUAUUGCCUAUUGACGGGUCCAAGCCCCAUCAGGUAGUUGGUAAGGUAAAGGCUUACCAAGCCUAAGACGGGUAGCCGGCCUUAGCGGGUGAUCGGCCACACGGGGACUGAGACACGGCCCCGACUCCUACGGGAGGCANCAGUGGGGAAUAUUGGGCAAUGGGCGAAAGCCUGACCCAGCCAUGCCGCGUGAAGGAUGAAGGCCUUCGGGUCGUAAACUUCUGUCAGGAGGGACGAUGGGACUUCGGUCUUGACGGUACCUCCAGAGGAAGCCCCGGCUAACUCCGUGCCAGCACGCGGUAAUACGGAGGGGGCAAGCGUUGCUCGGAAUUACUGGGCGUAAAGGGUCCGCAGGCGGUCAAGUAAGUUAGGUGUGAAAGCUCAAGGCUUAACCUUGAAAUUGCAUCUAAAACUACAUGACUAGAGUCCAAGAGAGGUUGGCGGAAUUCCCGGUGUAGCGGUGAAAUGCGUAGAUAUCGUGAGGAACACCAGUGGCGAAGGCGGCCAACUGGCUUGGAACUGACGCUCAGGGACGAAAGCGUGGGUAGCGAACCGGAUUAGAUACCCGGGUAGUCCACGCCCUAAACGAUGGAUGCUAGUUGACGGGAUUUAUUUCUCGUUGACGUAGCUAACGCAUUAAGCAUCCCGCCUGGGGAGUACGGUCGCAAGGCUGAAACUCAAAGGAAUUGGCGGGGGCCCGCACAAGCGGUGGAGCAUGUGGUUUAAUUCGAUG